GCGUCCAUUGCCUAAUGGAUAGGACAGAGGUCUUCUAAACCUUUGGUAUAGGUUCAAAUCCGUUUGCCUUGGUGCC
rnacentral:tRNA from 1 species